AGUGAUUUUUAUAUGGAGAGAGAGAGAGAGAGAGAGAGAGAGAAGAGAAGAGAAGGUUCUUUGCCCUAAGCUUGUCCAAAGUUUGGGUUUCUUCUUCAAGAAAGUAGAGUGGGACGCUUUCGACUUCCACACGCUACUCCCUCCUCAGGCAACCUCUCUCUUCUG